ensembl:lncRNA
UUUUUUUUUUUAUGGCUGCAUAGUAUUCCAUAGUGUAGAUGUACCACAUUUUCUUUAUUCAGUCUACCAUUGAUGGGCAUUUAGCUUGAUUCCAUGACUUUACUAUUGUGAAUAGUGCUUCAGUGAACAUAUGCGUGCAUAUGUCUUUAUGGCAGAAUGAUUUCUAUUCCUUUGAGUAUACACCCAAUAAUGGAAUUGCUGGGUGGAAUGGUACUUCUGUUCUCAGUUCUUUGAGAAAUCACCACACUGCUUUCCACCAUGGGUGAACUAAUUUACAUUCCCACCAGCAAUGUAUAAGUGUUCCCUUUUCUCUACAACCUCACCAGCAUGUUAUUUUUUGACUUUUUAAUAGUGGCCAUUCUGACUGCUGUGAGAUGGGGUCUCACUGUGGUUUUGAUUUGCAUUUCUCUAAUCAUUACUGAGGCUGAGCAUUUUUUCAUAUGCUUAUUGGCUACAUGUGGGUCUUCUUUUAAAAAGUGUCUGUUCAUUUCCUUUGCCCACUUUUUUAUGGGGCUGGCUGUUUUUUGCUUGUUAAUUUGUUUAAAUUUCUUACAGAUUCUUGAUAUUAGACCUUUGUUGGAUGCAUAGUUGGCAAACACUUUCUCUCAUUCUAUAGGUUGUCUACUCUGUUGAUAGUUUCUUUUGCUGUGCAGAAGUUAUUUAGUUUAAUUAGAUCCCAUUUGUCAAUUUUUGUUUUUGUUGCAAAAUUGCUUUUGGCAUCUUUGUCACAAAAUUUUUGCCAGGGCCUAUGUCCAAAAUGGUAUUUACUAGGUUAUCUUCCAAGAUUUUUAUAGUUUUAUAUUUUACAUUUAAAUCUCUAAUCCAUCUUGAGUUGAUUUUUAUAUACGGUAUAAAGAAGGAGUCCAGCUUCAGUCUUCUCCGUAUGGCUAGCCAGCUAUCCCAGCACCUUUUAUUGAACAGGGAAUCCUUUCCCUGUUGCUUGUUGUUGUUGACUUUGUCAAACAUCAGAUGGUUGUAGAUGUGCAGCUUUCUAGGCUCUCUAUCCUGUUCCAUUGGUCUAUGUGUCUGUUUUUGUACCAGUACCAUGCUGUUUUGGUGACUGUAGCCCUCUCUAUUCUGUUCCACUCAUCCAUGUGUCUGUUUUUGUAUCAGUACCAUGCUGUUUGGGUUACAGGUAAUGUCAUGCCUCCAGCUUUGUUCUUUUCGUAUAGGAUUGCCCUGGCUAGUCAAGCUCUUUCGUGGUUCCAUAUGCAUUUUAGAAGCUUUUUCUAAUUCUGUGAAGAAGGAUAGGAAUAGCAUUGAAUCUGUAAAUUGCUCUGGGCAGUGUGGCCAUUUUAAUGGUAUUGAUUUUUUCUAUCCAUGAGCAUGGAAUGUUUUUCCAUUUGUUUGUGUUAUCUCUCAUUUCUUUGAUCAGUGUUUUGUAAUUCUCAUUGUAGUCGUCUCCCUGGCUAGCUGUAUUCCUAGGUAUUUUAUUCUUUUUGUGGCUAUUGUGAAUGGGAUUUUUUUUUUUUUUUUUUCUGAGACGGAGACUUGCUCUGUCGCCCAGGCUGGAGUGCAGUGGCGCAAUCUCCGCUCACUGCAAGCUCCGCCUCCCGGGUUUACGCCAUUCUCCUGCCUCAGCCUCCCGAGUAGCUGGGACUACUCGCCCAGCUAAUUUUUUGUAUUUUUUUAGUAGUGACGGGGUUUCACCGUAUUAGCCAGGAUGGUCUCGAUCUCCUGACCUCGUGAUCCGUCCGCCUCGGCCUCCCAAAGUGCUGGGAUUACAGGCGUGAGCCACGCGCCCGGCCAG